CACCAGGAACCAGAGUGAGCAGGACAGCCUCUGCCUGCAAGGAGCUGAGUGACAGAACUCAAAGAAUAGUGGGUUUGACCAAAGGAGGAGGGAGAAGAAGGCACAGGUGUGACAUCUGUGAAGAACGGUGACAUCUGUGGGAAUAAGCACCCCUGUUCUUCUCCAUUGAUCAUUCAUAUCCAUAGCUUUUGGAAUUGUGCCUUAUUGUCUUUGUAAGUGACAGAGUAGAUAUGGGAAAGCAGAGCCACCAAAAGGAGUGAUGAUCAGCGAUCUCAAGAUAAGGCUGGAUGUUAGUUCUCAUGCCUUGGGAUAUUGGGGACGUCACACCAGCUCCUGGGAUCAGACUUCAUCCACAUAGUACCCCUCCUUGCCUGAACUAUUAAAGCCAGUCUUAGCUAACCACGAAUGGCUACCCAAAGGAAACACUUGGUGAAAGAUUUCAAUCCUUACAUUACCUGCUACAUCUGUAAAGGGUAUCUGAUCAAGCCAACUACAGUGACGGAAUGCCUCCACACCUUCUGUAAGACUUGUAUUGUCCAGCACUUUGAAGACAGCAAUGAUUGUCCAAGGUGUGGCAACCAAGUCCACGAAACAAACCCAUUAGAAAUGUUAAGGUUGGAUAAUACAUUAGAGGAAAUUAUAUUUAAACUUGUCCCUGGACUACGAGAACAAGAACUUGAGCGUGAAUCUGAAUUUUGGAAGAAAAAUAAGCCUCAAGAAAAUGGACAAGACGAUACCUUAAAAGUUGACAAAUCUAAAGUAGAUGAAGAAGGUGAUGAAAAUCAAGAUGAUAAAGACUAUCACAGAAGUGACCCACAGAUUGCUAUAUGUCUAGAUUGUUUACGGAAUAAUGGACAGUCAGGAGACAAUGUAGUAAAGGGUUUAAUGAAGAAAUUCAUUCGAUGUUCUACACGUGUAACUGUGGGAACUAUUAAAAAAUUUCUAAGUUUAAAACUAAAACUUCCAAGUUCUUAUGAGUUGGAUGUGCUGUGCAAUGGUGAAAUUAUGGGGAAGGAUCACACUAUGGAAUUUAUCUACAUGACAAGAUGGCGACUAAGAGGCGAAAACUUUGGUCCCUGAGACCUUAUUGGCAGUAUCUCUCUGUUCACCUCAGCCCUCAUCAUGGACUCACGUUCUUCCCGCUCGACUCUUCUUGGUUUCGGUGUCUGAACUGCUCAGCUUCGCAAGUCUGCCCUCAGGAUGGCGCUUUGUAUCAGUCAUACCCUAUGGUAUUGCAGUAUCGACCAAGAAUUGAUUUCGGUUAGACCAAGGGGCCUGAAUCUCACUGAGAUGCAUCCUGCACUAUUUGUUUACUCGUCGACAGAUUGCACAAUGAAUGGUGUGUGGACUAGAGGGACACAACCAGAUUUUCAGCAUGCAAUUAAGGCCAUUGUCUUUCUCUGAACUGUUAGUUGCAUUCAUGUUUCUGAUAGGAGCAAACCAAGUGCCAUUCUGCUGCUGAACUAUCUGCGUAGGGAUCUGUGCUGUCUCACAGCGUGCAAGGCAUGGUGGGGUCAGUCAGGUGUGCAACCAUGGUUCAGCCUCCGGAAUAUUUGCUUGCCUGUUCCAAGACUGUUUUCAUGUUUAAUUACACUAGGAAAUGGCUCAAUCUCUGUGGUGUUGCAGUUUUCACAUACUUACUGUUUUAUUCUUGUUUAAAUAGAGUACUGUACAAGAAGCUAAUUAUUCUAUCUUGCAAUUCUUUUGUAUGGAAAUAUAUUUAGAAAAGUGGUCUUUGAGCCACUGUCCAGUUCUUGGUAAGCUUUUUGUGUAAAGAUUAGUUCAUUCUUGAGUGUGCAAGUCCUUUUGCAAAAACUUCCAAUUAUUCUUUAACCUUAGAGCACAGUGUAACUGUAGACUUUCUAAGCAUCUGUCUGUGUAGUCUACCAAUUGCACAAGGAAGGCAUGUUCGCCCUCCAGAUGGAAAUGUUUGUGACUUCUUGGACAACUGAAGUUAGAUUCACAACCAUUCAAAAUGUUGGCAGCUGAUCACAUUUACUUCUAAUAAAAUUAAUGUGUGAGUAGGGUGAAUCUUCUUUCAUAAUGCCUUAUGACAAGCAGGUGCUGCUUCAUGAAACUUCAUUGUAUAGCCUGUUCUAUGGAUGUAUCAUUACACUGUUGCUGUCAUUUAAUGAGUGCAUUGUUUCUCUUUUUAAGUUGGCCUUAGAUGUGUGUCACUGUGGCAUGCAGAGGGUUAUGAUGAUUUUAAGUAUUAAGAUUUUUAGAGCAGAUAACUUUGCUAUUUUAUGGAAUUAAGAAGUCUCAAACAGUUGUAGGUUAAAACUGUUAGUUAUCUAUCAUAUUUCCCAACCAUAUGCGUAAGAGAGGAUAAAUAUAGUACAGUAAGUAAAUGUGCUAACCAGAAUUAAUAGUCUGAGGGUAUUUUAUUUUAAAUUCUAUAGUAAUCCAAGGAAAUGGGAUUACCAUCUUCUACGUAAAUUCAUUACGGUCAGAUAGUAAUAAUAAUCAUUAUUGAGAAUGUCCUUGAUUUUGCAGUUUUGUUAAGUCUUCCAUUCAUUUGGGGUUAGUCUGUACAUCAAAGAAAAUCUUGUUACCUUAAGUUAAUGAUCAACUUUAUUUUAAACUUUUUCAGAUUUCCAGCUGUUUGCAAAAACCUCUUUGGAAAAUGUUUAAUUAAUUGCUUUAAAACAAAUUAGUCUUUGAAACUUACGGAAAAAAUCUUCAAAUUGGGAAGAAUAUUAGUUUUAGAACUCUGACAUGAGCACGAUCUGUGUGUUACUACACAGUUUUCAUGCUGUACACAUGAAAGACAGGCUGAGUCUUCCAGUAAAACGUACCACAAUGAAUGCCUUCCGACUUCCAGAAUUCGCCUUAGAAAUAAAACAUUGUACAACUCGAAGAAACAUACAAACCAAAAUCCAAACUGGAUGCAUUUCUUAAUGCAAAAGACUAAAACUUCAUACAUACUUUUUCUUUCUUUUUUAAGUCAAAAAGUUCAUAUUAAAGUUUUUUGUAAUUCUGACUUUUCUGAAAAAGAUUGUGGCAAUACUCUCUUCACUUCAUUUUGUUAAGGUGUUGGAAGGGCUCAGAAGCAGAAUUUCAAAGGCAGAUUUUCAUUCAUUCUUUAAAUGGUUGGAAAAGAUAAUAACAUUCAAGCAAAAACUGAAUUUACUUUCUGGCUACAGAAAUAAUUUUGCUAUUCUGUGUAACCGAUUCCCAAAUAUCUUUGAGACAUUUUUUAAUUGCUAUAAAUUUGUCACAUCUAGGUCAGUGAUUAGUUUUACAUAUGGAAGUUAUUUUUAAUUAACUCAAAAUGAACUGAGUGUGUUUUAAAAACCACAAAUAAGACUUGGACGUUUGGGUUCCUCAGCCAACACGUGUGGCCAUAACUGGAUUUAAUACACGAGAUCUCUUGAAAGUCGGCCUGUUGCCUGAUUGUAUGGAAUUUCACUAUUUCCAGGGAAAUGCAGAGCAGGCAGUUAUGGAAUUGAGAAGAGUUUUAUGUAAAAUUCUUUAUUUAAUGUUAAUAUAUUAACAUUUUUAUUGUCAUGGAAUGGAAUAUGUGCAACAACACAGAGAAUCUGCAUAAAGGGCAUCAGUUGUCACUCGGGCAAAAGCACACGCCUUUUGUUGGUCUCAAGUGAAACAGUAUUGCUGUGAGAGCCACAGACUUCUCCCAACCCCUCUGGUAUGUUCUCAACUAUGAUUUCCCAAGUAUGGGACUUCUUCAUGCCUAGUAAUACACUAAAUCCCUAAUUAUUCCCCAAAUCAGUUGUAAACUUUGCAAGAAACCAGGUAUAGAAAAAAGGUACAGGCAACUUUUGUGGUUAGCUUUAUAAAUUUAGGGUGCUAAUAAACUCUUUAUAUAAAUCACCUCUAGGAAUAGUCAUCAUCUGAAUCUGUAAAAUCAGAGACUAAAUAAACCUAAGCUAAGUUUUUCUUUAUCUGUCAUUUCUUAAGCAAUAAAACUGAAAGAACUUUACUUCCA